rnacentral:misc_RNA from 1 species
UGUGAAUCAUCGAAUCUUUGAACGCACAUUGCACUCUUUGGUAACCCGAAGAGUAUGCCUGUUUCAGAUAUAAGUCACUAUGAACUCUGAGGGGGUGUUUGCCAACUCAGUUUUCAUGACUUGAACUUUCCAGACUCAUUACGCGUCUGGUGGUUUAAAAUAAAAGCAUGGACGGUCUUCUUGACUCAUCCGCACGCAAAAGUGUAAUACGAGCUGUCAAAGGCUUCAUUCACUUCUUGCUAGGACGUCAGAUGUAUCGAUUUAAUCCAUGGUCGCAGGAAAUCGGGGGACUACGCAAGUAGAACCUAUCCAUAGCGGCAUCUGAAAUCAGGUAGGACUACCCGCUGAACUUAA